rnacentral:tRNA from 1 species
GCUCGUAUGGCGGAAUUGGUAGACGCGAUAGACUCAAAAUCUAUUUUCUGCAAAGAAGUGUCGGUUCGAGUCCGACUACGAGCACCA